rnacentral:rRNA from 1 species
GACGAACGCUGGCGGCGUGCUUAACACAUGCAAGUCGAACGGAAAGGCCCUGCUUUUGUGGGGUGCUCGAGUGGCGAACGGGUGAGUAACACGUGAGUAACCUGCCCUUGACUUUGGGAUAACUUCAGGAAACUGGGGCUAAUACCGGAUAGGAGCUCCUGCUGCAUGGUGGGGGUUGGAAAGUUUCGGCGGUUGGGGAUGGACUCGCGGCUUAUCAGCUUGUUGGUGGGGUAGUGGCUUACCAAGGCUUUGACGGGUAGCCGGCCUGAGAGGGUGACCGGCCACAUUGGGACUGAGAUACGGCCCAGACUCCUACGGGAGGCAGCAGUGGGGAAUAUUGCACAAUGGGCGGAAGCCUGAUGCAGCAACGCCGCGUGCGGGAUGACGGCCUUCGGGUUGUAAACCGCUUUCGCCUGUGACGAAGCGUGAGUGACGGUAAUGGGUAAAGAAGCACCGGCUAACUACGUGCCAGCAGCCGCGGUGAUACGUAGGGUGCGAGCGUUGUCCGGAUUUAUUGGGCGUAAAGGGCUCGUAGGUGGUUGAUCGCGUCGGAAGUGUAAUCUUGGGGCUUAACCCUGAGCGUGCUUUCGAUACGGGUUGACUUGAGGAAGGUAGGGGAGAAUGGAAUUCCUGGUGGAGCGGUGGAAUGCGCAGAUAUCAGGAGGAACACCAGUGGCGAAGGCGGUUCUCUGGGCCUUUCCUGACGCUGAGGAGCGAAAGCGUGGGGAGCGAACAGGCUUAGAUACCCUGGUAGUCCACGCUGUAAACGGUGGGUACUAGGUGUGGGGUCCAUUCCACGGGUUCCGUGCCGUAGCUAACGCUUUAAGUACCCCGCCUGGGGAGUACGGCCGCAAGGCUAAAACUCAAAGGAAUUGACGGGGCCCCGCACAAGCGGCGGAGCAUGCGGAUUAAUUCGAUGCAACGCGUAGAACCUUACCUGGGUUUGACAUGGAUCGGGAGCGCUCAGAGAUGGGUGUGCCUCUUUUGGGGUCGGUUCACAGGUGGUGCAUGGCUGUCGUCAGCUCGUGUCGUGAGAUGUUGGGUUAAGUCCCGCAACGAGCGCAACCCUUGUUCACUGUUGCCAGCACGUUAUGGUGGGGACUCAGUGGAGACCGCCGGGGCCAACUCGGAGGAAGGUGGGGAUGACGUCAAGUCAUCAUGCCCCUUAUGUCCAGGGCUUCACGCAUGCUACAAUGGCUGGUACAGAGAGUGGCAAGCCUGUGAGGGUGAGCGAAUCUCGGAAAGCCGGUCUCAGUUCGGAUUGGGGUCUGCAACUCGACCUCAUGAAGUCGGAGUCGCUAGUAAUCGCAGAUCAGCAACGCUGCGGUGAAUACGUUCCCGGG